rnacentral:rRNA from 1 species
UACAGAGGUCCCGAGCGUUGUUCGGAUUCACUGGGCGUAAAGGGUGCGUAGGUGGUGGGGUAAGUCGGAUGUGAAAUCUCCGGGCUCAACCCGGAAAUGGCAUUGGAAACUACCUUGCUGGAGGAUUUGAGGGGGGAUUGGAAUACUUGGUGUAGCAGUGAAAUGCGUAGAUAUCAAGUGGAACACCAGUGGCGAAGGCGGCUCUCUGGGACGGUACUGACGCUGAGACGCGAAAGCGUGGGGAGCAAACAGG